UGGGGAAUAUUGGACAAUGGGGGGAACCCUGAUCCAGCCAUGCCGCGUGUGUGAAGAAGGCCUUAUGGUUGUAAAGCACUUUAAGCGAGGAGGAGGCUCUUUUGGUUAAUACCCAAGAUGAGUGGACGUUACUCGCAGAAUAAGCACCGGCUAACUCUGUGCCAGCAGCCGCGGUAAUACAGAGGGUGCAAGCGUUAAUCGGAUUUACUGGGCGUAAAGCGCGCGUAGGCGGCCAAUUAAGUCAAAUGUGAAAUCCCCGAGCUUAACUUGGGAAUUGCAUUCGAUACUGGUUGGCUAGAGUGUGGGAGAGGAUGGUAGAAUUCCAGGUGUAGCGGUGAAAUGCGUAGAGAUCUGGAGGAAUACCGAUGGCGAAGGCAGCCAUCUGGCCUAACACUGACGCUGAGGUGCGAAAGCAUGGGGAGCAAACAGG
rnacentral:rRNA from 1 species